rnacentral:lncRNA from 1 species
GGGAGGGGGAACUGGGAGGCGGAGGCGGAGGCCGCGUCACGUGGAGGAGAGGCACAGGCCUUCUCCCGAAGGCCGGCGGAAAGAGCCGAAGGGAGGGAGUGAGGUCGAGGCAAGGCGGAAAAAGCCGAAGGCAGAGGAGCGAGAGACGGGUAGAGACGGAAAAAGCCGAGGACUUCCGGCCACGGGAGCGGGUCAUCUCCUCCUCCCAUCAUGGACGGAAGAGGAACUCCCAUCAAAAGCCGUCAGAUGACUGUAGCGUCAGCUGACCUCUGACUGCGUUCUCACAAAAGACCUUGUGCCACAACAGCCCGGUCCAGCUGCUCCUGAAGUCCAGCUUCACAAAAACUACAAGAGAUAAUAAAUAUGCAUCAUUAAG